rnacentral:rRNA from 1 species
GCCACUGCUAUUGGGGUUCGGCUAAGCCAUGCGAGUGGAGGGCGUCCCGCAAGGGAUGGCCCCGCAGACGGCUCAGUAACACGUCGUCAACCCACCUUAGGGUGGGGGACAACCUCGGGAAACUGAGGAUAAUCCCCCAUAGGCGGGGGAGGCUAGAAUGCGCCCCCGCUGAAAGCUCAGGCGCCCUAGGACGGGACGGCGGCCUAUCAGGUAGUUGGUGUGU